GGAAAAAAAAAAGAUAAAAGAAAAGGGCUUGAGAACUGAUUUUGAUUUGCGGAAGUGUUGGGCUACCUUGUUAAUUGUUUUGCUAAUAAUAAAUCCACCUAAUAAAAAUUUACAAAAUGCCUCCCAUAUUCCAACAAUUCAAAACCAUUUUCUGGCAAAACAUUUACUUGAAAUCCAAAUUCAAAUCUCCAACCAUACCCACC
rnacentral:misc_RNA from 1 species